AUUGAACGCUGGCGGCAGGCCUAACACAUGCAAGUCGAACGAGUGGCGGACGGGUGAGUAAUGUCUGGGAAACUGCCUGAUGGAGGGGGAUAACUACUGGAAACGGUAGCUAAUACCGCAUACCAUCGGAUGUGCCCAGAUGGGAUUAGCUAGUAGGUGGGGUAAAGGCUCACCUAGGCGACGAUCCCUAGCUGGGCUGAGAGGAUGACCAGCCACACGGGAACUGAAACACGGUCCAGCAUCGUAAGGGAGGCAGCAGUGGAGAAUAUUGCACAAUGGGGGCAAGCCUGAUACAGCCAUGCGGCGUGUAUGAAGAAGGCCUUCGGGUUGUAAAGUACUUUCAGCGGUGAGGCGAUACCCGCAGAAGAAGCGCCGGCUAACUCCGUGCCAGCAGCCGCGGUAAUAC
rnacentral:rRNA from 1 species